rnacentral:misc_RNA from 1 species
GCUUGAAAAUAAGAACACUUUGGUGGAUUUUGAAGGGAGAGUGAGUAUCUAAAGAGAUGGUUUGUGAGUAGCCAUGUAGGAUAAUGAAAAUCUAAAGUAAUUGUGUUGGAUAGAUUUCGGACCAAUGAGAACUAGAGCUCCAUCCCAAGUCCUUUGCUGUCUCCAACCACGUGUACCCUUGUCUUUUUUCAUCUAUUGGUGUGGGG